rnacentral:misc_RNA from 1 species
AAGUCGUAACAAGGUUUCCGUAGGUGAACCUGCGGAAGGAUCAUUACCGAGUUGGGGUCUCCUCUGUGAGGCCCGACCUCCCAACCCUGUGUCUACACAAACCUGUACGUGUUGCUUCGGCGGACCGGUGGCCCCCGCGAGGGGACCGCCGCCGGGGGACGACGGCUUCACGGCCGCCCCUUGGAGAGUCGUCCGUCGAUGGCCCCAACCCAACCAAAACUCAGAAUACCAAACAGUGAAAACACCUUCUGAAUCAGACUUUUGAUGUAACAAUCAAUAAAAACAAAACUUUCAACAACGGAUCUCUUGGUUCUG